rnacentral:lncRNA from 1 species
UUCCUAGUUGGAUUCGUUUCUGAUGCGCCACAACAGGAACUCCUAUACACAUUCUUUUUUCCCAUAAAGGUUAUUACGAACUACUUCCCUGUGAUAUACAAUAAGUUCUUGUUAAUUAUCUGUUUUAUAAAGUGGUGUGUAUAUGGUAACUCCCAUUCUCCUAAUUCCUCUCUUCCCCCACUUGGGAGAAACUUAAAACUUCAAAACCUAUGAUUCCUAAGCAACAUAAUGGCAACACCAGUUUAGUUUUACCAUAAUAAAUAAUAAGUGAGGAUUAAAAAAAAAAAAUGAUAGGUCUGAAGAGUUCUCACUGUGGCACAGCAGGUUAAGGAUAUGGUGUUGCCACAAGCUCUGGUUUAGGUCGCAGCUAGUUCCUGCUGUGGCACAGUGGGUUAAGAAUUCAACUGCAAAAGUUCCUGUUGUGGCUCAGCCAAAACAAAUCUGACUAGUAUCCAUGAGGACUGGGGUUCGAUUCCUGGUCCCACUCAGUGUGUUAAAGGAUCUGAUGUUUCCAUGAGCUGUGAUAUAGGUCAAAGAUGGAGCUCAGAUCUGCUGUUGCUGUGGCUGUGAUGUAGGCCAGCAGCUACAGCUCCAAUUCAACCCCUAGCCUGGGAACUUCCAUAUGCCCUGGAUGUGGCCCUAGAAAGCAACAAGAUCAACAACAAAAAAAUCCAAUUACAGUGGCUUGGGUUGCUGCAGAGGCAAGGGUUUGAUCCCCAGCCCAGUGCAGGGGAGUUAAGGAUCUGGUGUUGCUCUAGGUCACAGCUACAGCUCAGAUUCGAACCCUGGCCCAGGAACUUCCAUAUGCCGCAGGUGUGGCCAUAAAUAAAUUUUAAAAAUUUUUAAAGAAAAAAGAAGUAUUCAAAAAAAACAAAGAAAAAAGUGCAGUGUUGAUGAAAAAUCUGAAUUACAUAAAGCUACUUAAUUGAAAUAUAUUUUAAUGACACACACAAAAGGAGGCAAAAUAUAGUGGCUGUUUCUUAAGACGGCAGAGACCUAAGCAUAUGUAAAUGUUGAAGGAUGGAGUUAUUAGGGAGGAGUAAGUUGAAAAAAUAGACCAAAGUAGAUUAACCUGAGAAUGGAGGAAGGAUUUCUCUUCACUAGCAUCUGGAGGGACAGAUGUGGGUCAUGAGUGUAAUGGCAGGAAAUUGAAGGUUUCUUUGUGAAGCAGUGGGGUGUUGAGUUUAAGUGAUACUGAGAAGCUUUAAAAGAUUUACUUAAAAGAUGCCUUUAGGCCUGCCUGAAUUUUUAGUUUGUUUGUUUUGUUUUGUCUGUGCCUGAGGCAUGUGAAAGUUCCUGGGCCAGAGACUGAACUCAAGCCACAGCAGCAAUCCAAGCCACUGCAGUGACGACGCAGGAUUCUUAACCCACUGAACCACACAGGAACUCUUAUCAUAAUAUUCAAAACUUUUCAUAAUGCAGUCCCCAAUACAUCCUCAGCUUCACUGGUCCACACAUUCUCACUCCCAAACAAACUUUACCUCUAACCAAACUUAAUCUAGAGUCCCUCAAAAGUUUCUCUUACGGAUGUUUGUUCUUGCAGAGCCCUCUGCCUACCAUGCCUUUCUCAUCUCCCUGCAAACAUCUCUCAUUCCGUAAAAAUCGAAUCCAGGGAGUUCACCACGAUAGGAACCAUGAGGUUGCAGGUUGGGUUCCUGGCCUCGCUCAGUGGGUUAAGGAUCCAGCAUUGCUGUGAGCUGUGGUGUAGGUUGCCGAUGUGGCUCGGAUCCUGUGUUGCUGUGGCUGUGGUGUAGGCUGGCAGCUAUAGCUCCAAUUAGAACCCUAGCCUGGGAACCUCCUCAUGCCAUGGGUGUGGCCCUAAAAAGAAAAAAAAAUUGAAUCCAAUCACCCAACAUCCCUGAAGGCCCCCCCCUUUAUCACAGCUACCCUUCACCUGCUGAGCCUGGUUAGGUGCCUUUUUUUUUAUAGUUCCUUCUGCAUAUCUCUUCAUCUCAGCAUUUUUCUUUAGAAAUUUUAAACACUGGCUUUCUCUCAAUCGCUUUUUUUUUUUUUUCUUUUUAGUGCCACAUCUUCGGCAUAUGGAAUUUCCCAGGCUGGAGGUUGAAUCAGAGCUUCAGCUGCUGGCCUACACCACAAUCACAACACCACCUAUGCUGCAGCCUGCAGCAACAGAGGAUUCUUAACCCACUAAUCAAGGCCAGGGAUUGAACCCACAACCUCAUGGUUCCGAGUCGGAUUCGUUAACCACUGAGCCACGACGGGAACUCCUACUAGUUCGAUUCUUAACCUGCUGAGCCACAACCAGGAAGUCCAACACUGGCUUUCUCAUUUUUUCCAAUAAUCAGAAACUUUUUUUAAUUUCUGGAUUUCUUAGUAGGCCUGGUAUACUAUAGACAAAUGAAUAAAUAUUCAAUAAAUGAGUGGAAGAUGAUUAUUUCAGAGCUUCCAAUACUUGUCUCUAAUGGGUAAAAUAUAAGAUUAUUUUUUACAAAUGGAGAAACUUAAGACAGGAAGGAAUGUGCACCAAUAGUAACAUCAGCAGAACAAAGACUAAUAAAAAAAUUCAUGUAAAAUAAUCUUUUACUUGGACAAAUUAAGAUUCUAACAUGAGUUCCUGUUGUGGCUCAGUGGGUUAAGAAAAUGACAUAGUCUCUGUGAGGAUCCAGGUUCGAUCCCUGGCCUCACUCAGUGGGUUAAGGAUCUGGCAUUACCGCAAGCUGCAGUGUGGUCACAGAUGCAGCUCAGAUCUGGUGUUGCUGUGGCAUAGGACUGCAGGUGCAGCUCCGAUUCAACCUCAGCCUGGGAACUUCUAUAUGCUGCAGGUGAGGCCAUAAAAAGAAAAAAAAAAAAAAAAAAAAAAAAAAAAAAAGACUAACUACAAUCUAAAGAAUAGAACAAAUGGGAGUCUCUAAAUCAUAACAAAUAAAAUCCUCUAAACAUGUAAGCAUCAAGUUUCCAAUAUUUACUACAGAUGAUAUAGCUACUCUGAUUUAGGGAUUCGAAAUCGUUAAGACCAUUCCUCUCCCAUACACCACAAAAUUCUAGCACAACCAGAGUGUGACCUAAAAAAAAAUAUCAUUAGAGAUACUUGAAAGAGUUUUCCUUCACUUACGAGUUUUCCUUCACUUAUGAAAAGCCUCAUGUCUAGCUGGCCAUGUCACAGUUGGCUAGUACUUUUGUACACAUUUAACUAGCUAGGUCCUUUUCGAAUUAGAAACAAACAAAACAAAGAGCUUGAUAUUGCCCAGAACCACCUGGGAUGACAAACUUGUUCUCCUUGAAUAUCUUAUACUUUACAAAAUCCUGUGGGCCUCUCAAGUCACCAGUUCACGUUCCAUCCUCAUGCAAAGGCAGCUAUAUUAUAGUGAAAGAAUCAGUCCAAAGGUCAAAGUGCAGCUGAGGGCUAGCUCUCUCCACAAAGAGCCUUCCCUUCUACAGGUAGAUUUUCUUCACUACCCAACCAGUUUCUACAUCUGAGAGAUGUGGGGAGAAAGGGAGGAACUCAUUACUAACUACAAUUAAAGCUAAUUCAAAAAAACAGGGAGAAGAGAGAAGUUCUCAUUAUGACACAUGGGUUAAGAAUCCAAUUGCAGCAGCCUGGGUCACAUCAAAGGCACGGGUUCAAUCUUUGGCCAGCUGCAGUGGAUUAAAAGGUCUCAGCUGCAGCUCAGAUUCAAUUCCUGGCCCUGGUAUACAGUGGGUAAGGCCAUUCAAAAAGAAAGAAAGAAAAAAAGGCAACGGGUAGGAAAUAAAAAAGAAGCAAAUACCUUCCAGGUAAUGUUUAGAAAUUCCUUAACAUUUGUUAUCUUUCUCUUGACAGCUCAAAAAGCUUCAGAGAACUACCAUUCCUAUGAAACAAGGGUAAGAUUAGCCUGCUACAUUUGGAAAAAUUAAUGCUGGCCCAAGUAUAUACCAAGUAUUAAGACUCAGAACUUUCUUAAGUCAUGGGCAAAGCCAAAGACAGCCAGAGUAAGGUGGGGUCCCAGAAUUAGUCUCACCUAUAGGAGAAUGGAUUGUGCACAUUAGCGAAUGACUAGAGAAGGGAAAAACAAACAAAAGCAAAAAGUCACUCCACCUGAUUUCAAAUCAAAUAAACCCUCCAACCCUAACCAAGCCAAAGGAGAACUCCCUCUCUACAGAACACACCAGAGAAAGAUUUUGAUUUUCUCACAGCUGCCCCUAGUACUCAUUUAUCUUAUUUUUUUGGCCAUGCAGGCCACAUGCGGAAAUUCCAGGGCCAGGGAUCUAACCCAAGCCACAGUAGUAACAAAGAAUCCUUAACCUCUAGGCCAAAAGGCAAUUCCUUUUUUCCCCCCUUUGAUGCUCAUGUUAACCCAAAAACAAAACGAAAGGCAGCAUUCUGUGAUACUGCCAGCCUCUAGACAACUCUCAGUACUGUUGCUUCCACCUAAAUGCCUCAUUCAGAAACUAGCUCAUUUCCUGGGAUAAUUCAAUGGUUAAUUUUGGGAAGUGCAGCAUGAUGGAGAGAGCCUUGUAGUCAGUGACUUGGAUCUGAUUCCUGGCCCUGGUACUUAGCUGGGUUUGUCUUAUUCAAAUAAGUCAAUUUUGGAGUCUUAGUUUCCUCAUCUUCAGAACGGGACUAAUAACCUAAUCUGCAGGUCUCCAGUAAGAAGAAGAGACAGACCAACCAAGUGGUUGAUGCGCCAUAAUAGCUGUUAUUUCAACGAGCUCCUACAAACUACAGAUGCUGUGUGAGACAGUGUAAAGAUAGAGGUGAAUGCUCUCCUCGUUACCAAUGAUAAGAUUCCUAAAUGUGCUUAGUUUUCAAAAUUCUUUUUGUCUAUCUUUUCUGCCCGUGAUGAAUACAGCAAGCAAUUAAAACAGCUAAAAUUGACAGAGCACCAAACUGUUUAUAAAAUGUUUACAGGCUCAAGGUUAAGAAUACCUAAGUUUUAAGCAGUCCCCAAAUAACUGGUAGAAAUAAAACGAGAAGCCAGGCAACCAAGCAACCCAGGGUGUCUUUUUUCGCGGCCUCCUGAUUUCACUGAAGCGCUCGGGGGCGGGGGGGGGCUGCUCCUGGUUGGGGUAAUUUCCAGCCAUCUGACUCCUCACUCACCAACACUGCGUGCUGGAGAAUAGACGUUCGUUUGGCCUCCACGCCGCACUACGAGGCGGGUUAUUAAGGGCGGGUUCUGGCCUUCGAAUGUCGAAGGUCACUAAAAAGCCUCUUGAACAGAGCUCAUGCUUCUCCAAGUGCAAAGAAGAACGCUUCUCCUCUCUCUCCGAGAACUCCAUCGUCCUGACGCCACCGCGUCCUCGCCCUUCGAGCUGCCUCACCUCAGCUUUCCCGCCCUCAGCGGCUGCACGAGAGACCCGCCG